rnacentral:rRNA from 1 species
UGGCCUCGAAUCAGGUAGGGAUACCCGCUGAACUUAAGCAUAUCAAUAAGCGGAGGAAAAGAAACCAACAGGGAUUGCCUUAGUAACUGCGAGUGAAGCGGCAAGAGCUCAAAUUUGAAAUCUGGCGCCUUUGGCGUCCGAGUUGUAAUUUGGAGAGGCAUCUUCGGGUGCGGCGCCGGCCUAAGUUCCUUGGAACAGGACGUCAUAGAGGGUGAGAAUCCCGUUCUCGGCUGGCUGUCCGCGUCCAUGUGAAGUGUCUUCGACGAGUCGAGUUGUUUGGGAAUGCAGCUCAAAAUGGGUGGUAAACUCCAUCUAAAGCUAAAUACUGGCGAGAGACCGAUAGCGCACAAGUAGAGUGAUCGAAAGAUGAAAAGCACUUUGAAAAGAGAGUUAAAAAGUACGUGAAAUUGUUGAAAGGGAAGCGCUUGAGACCAGACUCGGCGGGAGGUAUUCAUCGUCCCUUCUGGGGCGUGCACUUGCCUCUCGUCGGGCCAGCAUCGGUUGCGGCGGCGGGAUAAAGACCCGGGGAACGUGGCUGCUCUCGGGCAGUGUUAUAGCCCCGGGUGUCAUGCCGCCUGCUGCGACCGAGGACCGCGCUCGGCUAGGA